rnacentral:rRNA from 1 species
UGCNAGUCGUACGAGAGUUUUUAACUCAAGUGGCGGACGGGUGAGUAACACGUAAGAAUUUACCUUUAGGAGGGGGACAACAACUGGAAACGGUUGCUAAUACCCCAUAUGCUUUCGAGUGAAAUGGAUUUCCGCCUAAAGAGAAGCUUGCGGCUGAUUAGCUUGUUGGUGAGGUAAUGGCUCACCAAGGCGACGAUCAGUAUCUGGUUUGAGAGGACGAUCAGACACACUGGAACUGAGACACGGUCCAGACUCCUACGGGAGGCAGCAGUGGGGAAUUUUCCGCAAUGGGCGAAAGCCUGACGGAGCAAUACCGCGUGAGGGAUGACGGCCUAUGGGUUGUAAACCUCUUUUUUCAGGGAGGAAUAAAUGACGUGUACCUGAAGAAUAAGCAUCGGCUAACUCCGUGCCAGCAGCCGCGGUAAGACGGAGGAUGCAAGUGUUAUCCGGAAUCACUGGGCGUAAAGCGUCUGUAGGUGGUUUAAUAAGUCAACUGUUAAAUCCUGAGGCUCAACCUCAAAAUCGCAGUCGAAACUAUUAGACUAGAGUAUAGUAGGGGUAAAGGGAAUUUCCAGUGGAGCGGUGAAAUGCGUAGAGAUUGGAAGGAACACCGAUGGCGAANGCACUUUACUGGGCUAUUACUGACACUCAGAGACGAAAGCUAGGGUAGCAAAUGGGAUUAGAUACCCCAGUAGUCCUAGCCGUAAACAAUGGAUACUAGAUGUUGAACAGAUCGACCUGUGCAGUAUCAAAGCUAACGCGUUAAGUAUCCCGCCUGGGNNGUAUGCUCGCAAGANUGAAACUCAAAGGAAUUGANNNGGGCCCNCACAAGCGGUGGA